AAUGAACGCUGGCGGCAGGCCUAAAACAUGCAAGUCGAACGCCCUAGCAAUAGGGAGUGGCGCACGGGUGAGUAACAUGUGGGAAUAUGCCUUUUGGUACGGAACAACGUUUGGAAACGAACGCUAAUACCGUAUGGUCCCUCCGGGGUAAAGAUUUAUCGCCAAAAGAUUAGCCCGCACUAGAUUAGCUAGUUGGUAAGGUAAUGGCUUACCAAGGCGACGAUCUAUAGCUGUUCUGAGAGGAAGAUCAGCCACACUGGGACUGAGACACGGCCCAGACUCCUACGGGAGGCAGCAGUUAGGAAUAUUGGACAAUGGGCGCAAGCCUGAUCCAGCCAUGCCGCGUGAGUGAUGAAGGCCUUCGGGUUGUAAAGCUCUUUAGUCCACGAAUAUAAUGACUGUAGUGGAAGAAUAAGCCCCGGCUAACUUCGUGCCAGCCGCCGCCGUAA
rnacentral:rRNA from 1 species